rnacentral:lncRNA from 1 species
AUUGUUCUAUUCAUCAUGACCUCAUAGAGCCUUUUCUUUUUCUCAGGUCUCAUUUACUUCCUCUUUUUUUUUUCCUUUUCCUUUUCCUAUACCUUCCUUUGGUCCUUAUAAGUAUCCAAAUUGCCCUAAAAUAACUUCUGCACAUGCAGCAUUAGGAAGCAGUGUUUCCCAACCACUACAUUUGAAUGAUUCAUUCCUCUGAGGACCCUCAAGUACUUCAGAAGAACUAAAAAAUGAAUAUCACGUUACACCAAAGAAGAAAUGAAAGCUGCCAGUGUCUUCUGAAGUUAAACAGGCUCCUGUUCUUUGACCCAGCAAUCCAAUCCUAGGUAUUUAAUUGUUCCCUGAGGUUUAAGGCAGUGGACUGAGGAUAAUACAGGCUCCAGCUUUCAUUAGUUCAAUGGAUGAUGCUGUUCAAUCCAUACUGUUUGGGGCAUUUGUUGAAAAUGUCAUUCAGAAGAUAUCAACACUUUCUGAGUCAUGGUUUGAUUGAAUUUAUAGAAUUAUGUGAUAGAAACCACAUUCUUCACAAAAGUCACAAGGCAAUAAUGACGACAAGGGUUGAAGAUGAAAGAUGCCAAAUAUUCUGAUCAAUUCAAUAAGGCAAAAAGACAAGUUAAUUCACUCAGUGCUCCAGGCAUCAACUUCAUAGAAGGAAUGGAAAUUCUACCUGUUUCCUAAAGAACUACAGAGGUGUACACCAAACGGAGGGCAAAUGCUGUUACCACUCAUCGUGCAAGACUUUUGAGGCAAUUUGGACAUAGACAAGUGAUGGGAAAAUUGAAUCAUUAUAUGGCUCAUGACAGUGUUGAAAACUCAAACAUCCAAGGACCUGUACCUUUGCUAAGUGCCAUGCAUAUGUUGCUGAUAAAGAUGCAAUAAAUACUCUUUUGUUAAAUUAUACUUAUUAUUUCUCA